rnacentral:rRNA from 1 species
UACGUAGGGUGCGAGCGUUGUCCGGAAUUAUUGGGCGUAAAGGGCUCGUAGGCGGUUCGUCACGUCGGGAGUGAAACUCGGGGCUUAACCCCGAGCCUGCUUCCGAUACGGGCAGACUAGAGGUAGGCAGGGGAGAGCGGAACUCCUGGUGUAGCGGUGGAAUGCGCAGAUAUCAGGAAGAACACCGGUGGCGAAGGCGGCUCUCUGGGCCUUACCUGACGCUGAGGAGCGAAGCGUGGGGAGCGAACAGG